rfam:Triticum aestivum genome assembly, contig: Triticum_aestivum_CS42_TGACv1_scaffold_526753_6DL
CUUUUACUCCCUUGUUCGAAAAUACUUGUCAUCAAAAUGGACAAGAAAGGAUUAUAUGUAGAACUAAAAUACAUGUAGAUACAUCCUCUUUCAUUUAUUUUAAUGAUAAGUAUUUCCGGACGGAGGGAGUACAUG